rnacentral:tRNA from 1 species
UCUCUGGUGGCCCAGAGGUUGAGACUCUGCACUUCCACUGCAGGGGGUACAGGUUUGAUCCCUGGUCAGAGAA